AUUCUUUCGCAGAGGCAAUAUUGUAGCCUAUGAGGCUUAUCCGAGGCGCGAUCAUUGCUGGUUGAAAACUGUAAUGGAAAUUAUUCUAAUUGAUUACAUUUAAUGUUUAUUGUUCACUUUUAACACUGAAUUGAAUUA